GACGAACGCUGGCGGCGUGCUUGACACAUGCAAGUCGAACGGAAAGGCCUGCUUUCCCUUGUGGAUUGCGGGUACUCGAGUGGCGAACGGGUGAGUAACACGUGAGUGAUCUGCCCCCAACUUGGGUAUAAGCCUGGGAAACUGGGUCUAAUUCCCGAUAGGACUGCAGGGUGGUGCCUGUGGUGGAAAACGAUUUUCUAGUGGUUGGGGAUGAGCUCGCGGCCUAUCAGCUUGUUGGUGGGGUAAUGGCCUACCAAGGCGGCGACGGGUAGCCGGCCGGAGAGGGUGGACGGCCCCAUUGGGACUGGGAUACGGCCCAGACGCCUACGGGAGGCAGCAGUGGGGACUAUUGCACAAUGGGCGGAAGCCUGAUGCAGCGACGCCGCGUGGGGGAUGACGGCCUUCGGGUUGUAAACUCCUUUCGACCGCGAGGAAGCCACCUGGUUGGAAGGGUGGUGACGGUAGUGGUAGAAGAAGCACCGGCUAACUACGUG
rnacentral:rRNA from 1 species